GUUGUGUAAUUUAGAGUUAAGAAUUCUGGAUAAAGGAUUCUGUCAUCAGAAUAACUCCAUCAAGAAAUACCCAUGGUUACUGAAGCAAUGGUACAGUGGAGGGCAAGGACUGGAAUAUACCAUCUAGAAGCGUGUAUUGCUGAACCCAGGAGGAGUAUGAUCAAAUGUGACAAAAUAGUUUUGCAUUUCACUCUUUUUCCAGUUCGCCAUUUCCAGGACAAGCAAGGUAAUAUAGAAUAAUAAUAAUGAUAAUAGUAAUAGCAAUAAUCUACUAUACUCAUUCUCACAAAUUUCCCUCAUGAACAAAGGCAGCACCAGAAAAAAAAAAAAUCUAAUGUAAUAUUCCUGAUGACUUCAAAAGGAAGUUGGAGAGAAGUAGUGAAAUUAAUUGGGGGAUGCAUGAUCAUAUUCUGAGACACUUGCAUGCCGAUAAGUUGAUCCACCAAUGAUCAAAGAAGCGGAAGGCUGAGUGGAAAAAAGUGAGACACCGGAUCCAUGACUGUAGCUCGAGUUUACAUCUGUCCUGUGACAAAUUUGAACAAUUAUCAUCUUUAGCAACCCUUUAGCUCCAUCAGCGUCCUGUUGGUAAACCUAUUAUUAAAAAGGAAAUCUUUUGUCCUUAGUAAAAAGUGAUCAUUCAGUAUUCGGUUUACUCAGUUUCGGAGUGUAAUCGAACCAUACUGGAACCUAAGGAUCUACGUACGUCAUUUUUUCUAGUACGAAACUCAACACCUAAAUUGCAGAAAUACGAAACUUUUUGGAUAAUUAACCCAUUAUUUUUGCAUAACAUUUUCUUACAUGUAAUUUGAGAUUGCACCGUACUUUGUGAGUUAGGUGACUGUGCCGGUGAAGGGAGCGCAUAGCUAGAGAUGCGCAUUAAGCAACGCGCAGCGGAAGGAAACAUGGCGGAGACGAGACGAACAAUUGAGAAUGUUCUGCAUUUUGGAGCUAUUUACAAACAUCCCAAGGCAUACACACGCCGAGAAAAGAUAUCAAGAUACAUCUGGAAUAUAACGCAACCCUCACACAUCAUUUGAAAGGGUAAUGAGAAAGUGAUUUAUGAACCCCAAUGACAUCCCAAGAGCACAGGCAUGACAGCUGCCUCAUCUUCAGGAAGGCGUACGUGAGGCGAAUGACUGCAGGUUGUUGUUGACACCUGCCACUGCCAGCUGGACGGGCAGAAUUGGUGAUGCCCAGGACCAGGGAGCUGUGUGGCAGAGUACAGUGUCAGUGGAAGUGUGGGCACUGCAGCAGAAGUGUUCUAUGGUCUCUUGUGGACUCGUGGCAGUGAAGGUCAGGGGUCAGAGCAGCAAGUGUCGUGUGGUCCAGACAGGGGUAGUGUUGGCAUUGUCGGAACCCGUGGCUAUCGGAGGAGUCACUGUGGUACUGACCCAUGGAAGUGAUGAGGAUGGUGUCACCGAGUGCGCUGCCCCACCUGCUGUGGCGCAUACAUUAUUAUGGUUAUCAUCAAAGCAUCGAGAAAAAAUAAGAUUCACAGCGAGAUAAUGAAAAAAAAUAAAUAAAUAAAAUAAAACUGCACCGAUUAUAAUAU